CACAAGCGGUGGAUGAUGUGGUUUAAUUCGAUGCAACGCGAAAACCUUACCACCUUUGACAUGUACGGAACCCUUUAGAGAUAGAGGGGUGCUCGAAAGAGAGCCGUAACACAGGUGCUGCAUGGCUGUCGUCAGCUCGUGUCGUGAGAUGUUGGGUUAAGUCCCGCAACGAGCGCAACCCUUGUCAUUAGUUGCUACAUUCAGUUGGGCACUCUAAUGAGACUGCCGGUGACAAGCCGGAGGAAGGUGGGGAUGACGUCAAGUCCUCAUGGCCCUUACGGGUUGGGCUACACACGUGCUACAAUGGCGGCGACAAUGGGCAGCGAAGGGGCGACCCGGUGCAAAUCCCAAAAAGCCGUCUCAGUUCGGAUUGUACUCUGCAACUCGAGUGCAUGAAGGUGGAAUCGCUAGUAAUCGCGUAACAGCAUGACGCGGUGAAUACGUUCCCGGGCCUU
rnacentral:rRNA from 1 species